CAAGAAUAUAGUUAAACAAAUACAGUAUAAAAAUAAUAGUACACUAACAAGCCAGAAUAUAAUAAAGAAAAUUAAUCCAGACAAAUGUUGUAUUGAAUUAUAUAAGAAUAACACAGUAGGACAUAAUUUUACUCAGACUAAUGUCAAAGAAAAAAUGCACUCAGCUUUGAAACUUUCAAACCUGAUUCUAUAAAUACUUAUUACACAAGUGGCACGAAUAGGCGGAACCAAUGUUAGAUCAAUAACAUUUAAUAUCUUACAAAGACUACUGAGUGAUUUAGUCGGAAGUUUGUUCAGUUACAUUGGUGAAAAAAA